rnacentral:rRNA from 1 species
AAUCUCGAUUCGAGGAGGUAGUGACAAGAAAUACCGAUGCGGGACCCUACGGGUGCCGCGUUCGGAAUGAGUACGAUUCGAACCACCUAACGAGGAACGAUCGGAGGGCAAGUCUGGUGCCAGCAGCCGCGGUAAUUCCAGCUCCAAUAGCGUACGUUAAAGUUGCUGCAGUUAAAAAAGCUCGUAGUUGAACGUUCGGGUUCCGCGGGACGGGGCCGCCCCGCGAGGGACGGCGCCGCCCCGGGGCUCGUGAUAUCUCAUCUCGCCGCCCGUCGCGAGGCGGACGGAGGGAUGGGAUGAGGUUACCUGGAAAAAAUCGGGGCGAUCUAGGCGGGCGAACCUCGCCAACGAACGAUCGGACAUGGGAUAACGGAAGAGGGCGUCGGCUCGGACUUCGUCGGUUCCUCGGGGCCGAGGCACGUACGGUGAAU